ensembl:lncRNA
CCGGUAAAUUAGGAUUCUAUUGUAUUUACUAUACAAGGUAAAACCUGUGGUAUUAUUUUGUUGUUAAUAUAAUUGUUAAUGUAUUUACACAGCAGUUACUUAGUAAUAAGUGUCAACUUAAGGGAGUUAAGUGAAAGUGUUACAGAGUUAGUUUUUCUUAAGAGUGCCCAGUUGUCUUUAAAGCACUGUUAUGAGGUCUGGAAUGUCCAAAUCCCCUGUUCUAAACGUGGCAUUUGCCCUCCAUUCCAUGUUGUUUUAAAUGUGGCAUUAGCCCUCCAUUCCAGGCAUCUCCCUGGUGAGUCUGUCUUCCCCUCAGACAGACUGUUUCUUAAUGUUAUGGAUGCUUUGCUUCAAUGAGAAAUUAAUGUCAACAUUUAUAAUUGGUUUGUAAUGAAAAAUAAUGUAAACAUUUGCAAUUGGUUGUUACGGGAUUUGUCCACAGAAGUAAUCAAUCCCUGCUCCAUCUAAGGUUACCAGAUGGGAGAAGCUAAAAUGUAGCAUUUUAUCAUGUGCAAUGAUUUGGUUGGAUUAUUUGGAACUGAUUAGCUAUCCUUAAACUGUUUCUAUGGUAUGGCUCGGUCAUCUGUCUGUACAUCUCUAUGGCAACUGGUGCUUGGGGAAGGGGACCCACUUCCUGAUUACUUGCUGGUUAGCAUGGCUGUGAUUCUUUGGCUUGGCUCUUUGUCUGCUUCUUUUAAAACUAUUGUUAGAGCCAGGCUGAAUCUGCAGGGGAGGUACGUUUAGCUCAAGCCAACAGAAAUUGGAAUAUUUAUAUAUUUAGGAUACAUCUGGGAAGGUAUUGAAUGUCCCUGCUGAUACCGCCUGGUUGUAUUUAUCGUUGACAAGUCUUCAUGGACAAGUCAUUGUCAAGCGAGUGGGAAGAUGUUUCAAACAAUGCAGCGGUGGGCAGACAUUUUACCAUUUGACCCUUCAAUAGUAGAACUCAUUCAUGAGUCGUCCUCUAUGUUUCACGUCUAGAAAGUGUAAGAAAGGCACCCACAUGUAUUACAACCACACUACUGAAGUCUCACUAAAUCUAAUAGAUCUCAGCUAACAAAGUACAAUUAGCUAAUGGAGGUCACAUCAUAUUUCAGAUUUUAAUUUAUAUUUUAAUUUGUUACAUUUUGUUGAUAAUAUUAAUUAAUAUAUUAGUAAUUCACUUAUUGUUGAAAAUCCAUCAAUUGAAUAUUUAACUGCC